AUUGAACGCUGGCGGCAUGCCUUACACAUGCAAGUCGAACGGUAACAGGUCUUCGGAUGCUGACGAGUGGCGAACGGGUGAGUAAUACAUCGGAACGUGCCUAGUAGUGGGGGAUAACUACUCGAAAGAGUGGCUAAUACCGCAUGAGAUCUACGGAUGAAAGCAGGGGAUCGCGAGACCUUGUGCUACUAGAGCGGCCGAUGGCAGAUUAGGUAGUUGGUGGGAUAAAAGCUUACCAAGCCGACAAUCUGUAGCUGGUCUGAGAGGACGAUCAGCCACACUGGGACUGAGACACGGCCCAGACUCCUACGGGAGGCAGCAGUGGGGAAUUUUGGACAAUGGGCGCAAGCCUGAUCCAGCAAUGCCGCGUGCAGGAUGAAGGCCUUCGGGUUGUAAACUGCUUUUGUACGGAACGAAAAGCCCCGGGUUAAUACCCUGGGGUCAUGACGGUACCGUAAGAAUAAGCACCGGCUAACUACGUGCCAGCAGCCGCAGUAA
rnacentral:rRNA from 1 species